rnacentral:rRNA from 1 species
GACGAACGCUGGCGGCGUGCUUAACACAUGCAAGUCGAACGGUGAAGGGGACUGCUUUUGUGGGCUCUGGGUGAGUGGCGAACGGGAGAGUAACACGUGAGUAAGCUGCCGCCUUCUAAUGGAUAACCGCAUGAAAGUGUGGCGAAUACGGGAUGUGCUGGGUAUGUCGCGUGAUUGGUCUGGGAAAGAUUGAGACUUUGGGAGGUUGGGGUGGGGGGUGGGCUCGCGGCCGAUCAGCUUGUUGGUGGGGUGAUGGCCUGCCAAGGCGGUGACGCGUAGCUGGCCUGAGAGGGUGUACGAUGACACUGGGACUGAGACACGGCCCAGACUCCUACGAGAGGCAGCGGUGGGGAGUAUUGCGCAAUGGGCGCAAGCCUGAUGCAGCGACGCCGCGUGAGAGAUGGUGGCCUUCGGGUUGUACACCUCUUUCGGCGGUGAAGCAGGCCUGCUCCUUGUGGGUGGGUUGACGGUAGCUGGAUAAGAAGCGCCGGCUAACUACGUG